rnacentral:rRNA from 1 species
ACGCUCGACACCUACGGGAGCAGCAGUGAGGAAUAUUGGUCAAUGGGCGCUAGCCUGAACCAGCCAAGUAGCGUGAAGGAUGAAGGCUCUAUGGGUCGUAAACUUCUUUUAUAUAAGAAUAAAGUGCAGUAUGUAUACUGUUUUGUAUGUAUUAUAUGAAUAAGGAUCGGCUAACUCCGUGCCUGCAGCCGCGGUAAUCUGAGCGGGCUGGCAAGGC